GAAACAGAGAGAAGAAGAAGAAGAAGGAGAAAGGAGGGAGAAGGAAGGGAGGAAGAGAGAGAGAGAUCAAACCUUAACCGAUUUGAGUGAUUCAAAAGCCUAAAUCGCUUAGAAUCUCGCCCUCUUUCAUAAUCCUUGCUUUGUUUUGAGUGGGGAGCAUUGUGGAGAGGGAUAUUGCCUCUCAAAAAUUCGGCCAUUGGAGAGAUUUUGGGGUUUUGGGAAGUUCAACCUCCAUGGGAGCUUGAGGAACACUCCUUGCUUGGUUGUGUGACCCUUGGUGGAUUGAGACAUUUGGACCGACCGUGAGUGAUCAACCGCUUGAGCAAGCUAUGGAGCUUGAGUAGCUCAUUGGAAUUGGUGUUGGUUUUGGAGUAGAGUAUUGUUGACAUUGGUGGUGAACAAAGGUCGAAUUGAAGCUUGAGGUAAGGAUGCUGCAGGAGCCUCUGGUGGCAAGUGGCCAUAUCUGGAUUAUGCAUGAAAUGUGGCAUUUCUUUUGAGAUUGUACAUGUUGUUUUGUAGCUCACAUGUAUAGAAUUAAAUGAAUAGGC